rnacentral:rRNA from 1 species
GUGGGGAAUUUUCCGCAAUGGGCGAAAGCCUGACGGAGCAAGACCGCGUGGGGGAAGAAGGCUCUUGGGUUGUAAACCCCUUUUCUCUGGGAAGAAAGUUGUGAAAGCAACCUGACGGUACCAGAGGAAUCAGCAUCGGCUAACUCCGUGCCAGCAGCCGCGGUAAGACGGAGGAUGCAAGCGUUAUCCGGAAUGAUUGGGCGUAAAGCGUCUGCAGGUGGCAGUUCAAGUCUGCUGUCAAAGACCGGGGCUUAACUUCGGAAAGGCAGUGGAAACUGAACAGCUAGAGUAUGGUAGGGGCAGAGGGAAUUCCUGGUGUAGCGGUGAAAUGCGUAGAGAUCAGGAAGAACAUCGGUGGCGAAGGCGCUCUGCUGGACCAUAACUGACACUCAGGGACGAAAGCUAGGGGAGCGAAUGGG